GAAUAAACUCUCCAGAGGUCAGUCCUUUUAAAUGCUUUCCUGGCUUUGUCAGGUUCAAGAGCCCAGCCUUGCAAACUGUGAAGCCUCAAGUCUAUGUGCUGUUGAACCCUGUGCACUUAACAAUACCAAAAUUUUAAAUGUCCUCUAAAAUUCCCCUUUAUAUGAGGAGGUGGACAAAUCUAGAGUUUGUCACCAUCAUUCUGGUACAAAAGGAAGAGCAACAAAAAGAGGAUAGACUGUAAAUAUGUGUAGGCUUACACAUGUAAAUUACUUACAUGUCUUUGAGCACUGAAAUAGUUGAUGUGGAUACUUAUUACAGCAGCAGAACUGGACAGUAGUUCAUGCGUUAUUGCUUCGAGCUCUUUGCCAGCUCAGGAAUCCACCUCUUGUAGAUAUUUAAAACAAGCAAACAAAAAAGCUGAUGGAAAUAGAUAAUAAAUCCGGUGCCAGAUUGAAUAAAAACAAGCUCUGUGUGUCUGUAGCAAAACACCCAGUAAAUAUCUGGAAGCAUCAGACAUCAGCAGUCUAGGAAAAGUAUUACAACCUGCAGAAGAAAAAAUAUAUGAAUCUAUAUCAGUGAGCCCUGGUCAUGUGCAGAGGUGCUGGUUACAGACUGCUUUAGUUUGAAGUCAGAGGCUGUCUGUUUUGAAUAUAAAUAUGAGAACUGUGGAGCAUUCCCACAAGUGUAUUUUUGAGAGGAAAUGACAUGGGUGGUGUGUAUUGAAAACAAAAACUUGAGCAUCUUUUGAAAUGUUUACAGGUUUAUUUAUCUAAAGGGAAACAGAAUACAUCAGGAAAUAUCUUAGCUCUUCCCUGUCCUUUUAUACUUAUUAAAAGAGAGGAAUAGUAAUAACAAGAAGAACUGACAUGCAGACAUUAAAAAUAAUAAGCACUCAUUAAAGCGUUUGGAGCAUUUUUAACCAGCUCUGAAUAUUUUCCUGGUGGAGUGCCUGAUGUGCU